rnacentral:rRNA from 1 species
UACGUAGGGGGCUAGCGUUGUCCGGAAUCAUUGGGCGUAAAGAGCGUGUAGGCGGCCUGGUAAGUCCGCUGUGAAAGUCCAGGGCUCAACCCUGGAAUGCCAGUGGAUACUGUCAAGCUAGAGUCCGGAAGAGGCGAGUGGAAUUCCUGGUGUAGCGGUGAAAUGCGCAGAUAUCAGGAGGAACACCAAUGGCGAAGGCAGCUCGCUGGGACGGUACUGACGCUGAGACGCGAAAGCGUGGGGAGCAAACAGG